rnacentral:rRNA from 1 species
AUGGCAUCCGCCGAAGACCAGGCCGCGGCGCUGCUGGUCGGCGACCCGGCGGCGUUCGACGCGCUGCUCUCCACGCUCAUGUCGGCCUCCAACGCCGAUCGCGCCGCCACCGAGGUUGCCUUCCACCGCCUCUGCGGCUCCCACCUGGAGCCCCUCGCGCUGCGCCUCGCCCCCUCGCUCGCCGCGCCGUCCACACCCACCGAGCUCCACGCCAUAGCCGCCACCCUCCUCCGCAAGCUCCUCUCCCCGACGGCCUCCUCCGACUCCUCCGUUGCCGCGCCGCCCCCGCUCUGCCCCCUGCUCUCCCUUGACGGCCAGGGCACGCUCAAGGCCCACCUCCUCGCCGCGCUCUAA